rnacentral:rRNA from 1 species
UAGGGAAUAUUGGGCAAUGGACGAAAGUCUGACCCAGCCAUGCCGCGUGCAGGAAGAAGGCCUUCUGGGUUGUAAACUGCUUUUAUCUGGGAAGAAAAAACUCUUGCGAGAGGAACUGACGGUACCAGAUGAAUAAGCACCGGCUAACUCCGUGCCAGCAGCCGCGGUAAUACGGAGGGUGCAAGCGUUGUCCGGAUUUAUUGGGUUUAAAGGGUGCGUAGGCGGCCCGAUAAGUCAGUGGUGAAAGCCUCCAGCUCAACUGGAGAACUGCCAUUGAUACUGUCGGGCUUGAGUACAGACGAGGUUGGCGGAAUUGAUUGUGUAGCGGUGAAAUGCAUAGAUACAAUCAAGAACACCGAUUGCGUAGGCAGCUAACUAGGCUGUAACUGACGCUGAGGCACGAAAGCGUGGGGAGCGAACA